rnacentral:misc_RNA from 1 species
CAAAAUUUCAUUCUUAAAAUGGUAAUGUGUGGCAAUGAUGAAGAUUUUACGUUGAGAGCUUAGAAUGUCUUAUUUUCUCUGGGAUCGUAAACAUCAUAAAGUCACCAAAUAAGUACCAUUCAAAUGCAUCAAGUAUUGAAUCCAAGGAAGUAAAGUCAGAAACUCAGAAUCUUUGGUCCCAUUCCUGAACAUAAGGUAAAAUUUUAUCUCAAUUUAGAAUUCUUGCAAUUUGUAAUUACCAAAUUCAUUCACACCUCAUAUUCAUGCGAAGAAUUUUUGCCUUUGCUAUAAUCAGAGUCAUUCAAUCAUUUACAAGAAUUUAUCUAUCCUCAAGAGAGAACAGAGAAAAUAAAUUCAGCUUAGAUGCAGGUUGUUCACGCAAAAACCCACAUUCAUGAGCACACAAAUUUCAAUCUCACAUUCUUGCUAAACAUUUGCAGAAUCUAUAUAGUAAUGACUUCUGCAUCCUUUUCAUUUCAACAUUGCAAAAAUAUGUUGUAAAGAGACAAUAGGUCAUACGAACAAGAUAUAUCUCUGUAAGAGACCUAUAAGCAGUAAUUAAUUGAAAUCUAUAAGAUACCUCAAUCCUAUUCACACAAAGUAUUUGAAGCCAAGCACUGAUCAAACGAACCAGCUUUUUGUCACUGGACUGCAUUACCCAGCAAGCUGUUUGUUGAAGGUGAACUCUGUUCACUUAACCAAGGAUCAUGCACAGAAACGGGUGAGCUAUCUUUCACUUCCUCCAAUGAAGUCAAACAAUCUGCUGCCUUCUGUGGAACAAGUAAUCUCCGGCUUGCUACACCGGCCUUCUUAACUGAGGAAACACCUAGUGACUUCUCACUUCCAUUGUCGGGUGAGGAACAAGAGGAAGCUGCUGUUGAGGCGGAGUACAUGCUUGGAACCCAUGAACUAAGCCUUAUGUGCUCUAGCUCUUCCGCCACUUCCAUCAUUGUAGGUCUCAUAUCCCUAUGAAAAGCAAGGCAUCUAAAUGCAAGCUCCGCCACAUUAUGUAUGGAUGAUAAUGUCCAAGCAUCCCUAUGUGGAUCAAGGUAUGGAUCUAUUAUCUCAUCAACACAACCUCUUCCAAUCCUAUCAAUAGCCAGCGCAGCCAAGUUUACCUCAGAGUGAGGUCGAGAAAAAUCAACUACUUUCAGUGAGGUUAUGAUCUCUACAAGAACUACUCCAAAACUGUAAACAUCACUUUUAUCAGAGAGGUGAAAAUAUUGAUGGUAUUGAGGAUCAAGAUAGCCUGGAGUCCCUUGUGGGGCUGUUGAGAUGUGAGAUGACUCAGUCAUGCCAAGUCUAGAAAGGCCGAAAUCAGCUACCUUAGACUUAUAGUUGUAAUCCAAAAGUAUAUUGCUAGAUUUGAUGUCUCUGUGAUAAAUUGGUGGGUUCAUGGCAGAAUGAAGAUAAGCAAUAGCAUUAGCAGUUUCAGCAGCAACGGUAAGCCGUAUAGUCCACGGAAGCCCUUUGCCCCUCUCUCUUUGCAAAUGCUGACACAGGGUUCCAUUGGGCAUAAAUUCAUAUACAAGGAUCGGUUCACCUUCCUCUAUGCAGCAGCCUAAGAGGCGGACCAAAUUUGGAUGGCUAACAGAGGAAAGGAGCUUAAUUUCAUUCAUGACUUGAUCAAUGCUAUCAGUAUCUCUAUGUCGGAUCUUUUUUAUAGCAACCCAAUCAUCAUUGUGGAGUUUUCCUGCAUAAACUGUACCAUAGGCUCCAGUUCCCAGCCUUUGUUUCUCUGAGAAGCCAUUGGUGGCUUUUUCAAUUUCUCUAUAUGCGUAAAAGGGAACACUAGAAUUGCCUGCAGCUUCACAUAGAAGUCGCUUUGCACUCAACCUGUUUCUCAAAGAAGUGGAUCGCCGUCGAACAAAGUAACAGAUAAGGGCCAGACCAGCCAUUAACAAAGCGCCAGCAAUAAUCCCUGAUAACAUAAAAAUGUGGACCAUUGUGACAUUCAGAAGGGUGAAGAAAAAAAGAAACUAAUAUGAUAUUUUUCAAGAUUAUUGCAAAAACCCAGAAUCAGGUAAAUGUACUCAGCCCUAUGCACAAAAGACAACCAUAUGUAAAAUUAGAACCUUCCAAAAAAAAAAUUGAAUUACUAUCUAGUAGUAGCCAGCUAACUUGAAGACAUGCAUCUAAAUUUAUUCAUCAUUCUUGUGCAUGAAAGUCUAAAUUAUUAAAUAAUAUAUAAUGAGUUGACAAGCACAUCUUAAAGCAGAAAGUUGGGGAAAACCACCCAAAAAUAAAUUUAAAUAUGCAGAAGGCUCGUGGUUCAAAGACUUUGAGAGUUUCUUCCAUUUAAAGCAAAAGACAUUAACUUAAUUGCAAUUCAUGGAUUUCAAAAGUUGAUAAAAAAAAGAAGGAAAUGGAAAUUUUUGUUUGUUACUGUUGUAUAGCUUAAGAAACUUACCUCCAACAAGAACACCGACUCUAGUAGUUCCACCACAUUCCCCAUUAAUGUACUUUGAUGGGUUGCAGCCAGAAACUGACGAUGCUGCAAUCAGGAAAGAUCAGAAGAGAUGUCUAUUUGAAAAUUACAAGGAUAUAAGUACAAAAUGUGAUCAUAAAUCAGAUUACACUUGCAUUUCAUAUUGAAAUUACAUUCUAAAUUUUCCCUUGUUUGACAACACUUACAAGUCUAAUAUUUCUGUAAUCCUUAGGUUCAAAGUUCAAACCAUUUUAGUAUGAUACACAAAAACUAGCCCGUAAUACCACCUUAUAGCAAUAUCAAAUAAAAGAAAGAAAAAAAGUUCAAACCAUUCUAAAUUCAAACAAAAGACAGCCAAACCAGACACAUUUUUAUGUGCAAACCAAAAUCGUUUAGAUAACAAAAUCCGUUUCCACCAUCUUUUAUUGCAUAUGUAUAAGCACAUUUAUCACACUGUAUAAUUUUCUCUGAUUCAGAAAGUGUUGAAUACUGUUGACAUGAUUUAGUUGUUUGAGCUUGAGGUUGCCUCUACCAAAAUGACUUAAGCCAAUUUGGUUGAGUUCCCCCUUGCUACAUGUUCAUGUUAUUUUCCGGUGUGGGACUCCCGACACUCUAAACCGUUGAUGCUAAUGAAACGAGCAGAGCUACAGAAAAAUGGAUCCAUAAAAAUUUUCUCCAUCUUUUUUAUGUCCAAUGGAUAGUCACAAAAUCACAGACAAAGUAGUUCCAUAAUUCUGCCAAGUCAAAAACAAGACCCUUUAGUCUCACACCACAAUUUGGUCAAAUGGCUUUGUUCACCUAAACAACUUUGUAGUUAAAAGAUUGAGAUUCUUGAAGGAUGUUAAUUUUUGGCAGGAUUAGCAAAGUCAAAAACAGGGUAGUGAUUUUUCAAACGCUACAGGAGGCUAUGAUCGUGGCAGGUAUAAUGCAUUGAUUAUGGUCAGACUUGUGUUUGGGUAAGACAUAAAAAAUAAAGUGAAAUGCAAUUAGAAUUGCUUUGAAUUGGUCUAAAAUGACUUCAUGCACAACAUUGGAACCCUAAAAGUCAAAAUUUUAGUAUUUUCCUUGUAUAUGCAUGUCAUUAACUAUUAUUUCCACUUAUAAACACUAAUCUUUCAAGGUGUUUCUCCGGCUUUAAAGAUUAAGAAGUAUAAAGUCUUGAAUUCGAUGUAUUCAUUUGUAAGAAAGAAAAAUAAAAGACUACUUUCAUGAAAGAAAAUGUGUUUGCCAUUAAACCCUAAACAAAAUUUUAACAUAACAUUGAUUAGGCAAUAUCCCAUAUGGUCCUCAGGGUCAUAUUUAUAAACUCUAAAUUCUUUUUUUUUUUCAGCUUUUAUGACCAGAGACCGCCGAUACUCCAUUGAAAUGUCUUUCCCCAAACUCCAAUUAGCCAACUCAGGCACCCACUUUCCCCAAUCAAAAGCCAACCCAUGCCCACGCCCACCCCACCAAAAAUCAAACACAAACAAUAUUUAAAUAAAUAAAUAAAUGUACAAACAAAUAAAUCAAAAGACAGAUUUGACUCACCGCUCCGGCAACCUU